AGUGAAAUACUUUGAUCUCGAGAAGAGUGUGGAUAAUAUCACACCUUAAGACUGAGAAAGCUGAAUAACUUAGUACUUACACAGACAAGACUAUAUAAAUGUAUAGUAAUAUGUUGUUUCGCUGAUGCUUUAACGGAAAGGCGAUAAUAACAGGAAGGUUUCCAUAUGCUGACUCAACGAAUAUUGACACUAUUUGUUGCUGACUCAGCACUCUAUAUGCAAUUUUAAAUUCAGCUAGCUAGUAGUCCUAGUGAGGCAGAGCUCAUGUCAAUGAUUCUUCCAGAGACUAGACUCAUGCAUAUACACUACUGUGGACUAGACUCAUCUACUUGUAAGAAGGUAUAGUACUGUACUGUAUGUAGGUGCAUGGCUGUUGAUUAUGUCAAGAAUUGCCAGCAUGAAUUCGUGAGCAUCUUCUUGGUUUAUACCUGUUUGGAGCGUGGUAUGACUAUCCUAUAGCCGAAUGUCUUUUUCUAUCGCUAUAUAUAGGGCUGGACAGAAGGGCUAUGGCUGCCAGUGAUGCAUCUCAAUAAAAAACUGAGAGUUUCCAGAGGAAGAAACGUGGGAUACAUGCAUGCAGCCUCACUAUACAUGAUAACUUUUCACUUCACUUCCCUGAACAUAAUUUCUGUUACAAGUUUACAUCAAAUGUGCAUUAAUAUAGUCUCUGUACCAUGACUGUGGUAAUCAAUGAAACUUGGAAGCAAAGCAUGUGUUUCAAAUGUUUAUGCAUGCCUCCUCCAACAUGCAAGAUGAUCAACACUGAAACCAUAAUUAUGAACCACUAACUCAGCCAUGAUGUAUUUAAUAGGAUUGGCUUACAUACAAUAAAUUUAUAAGGCUCUUGAUAGCACCAGGGGCACUCCAGAGGGCCUGUGCUCCUGAUAGCCCUUUACCGGUCAAAUUGUUGUAAAUUUUACAACAACAAUCUGGGAGGGAGUGUGCUAUCAACUUGUGAAUGUUGCAUGAUAUUGGAUUCUGUGGCAGAUUGGAUAGUAUCAUGAAUGCGAUUAUCCUUUGAAGUUCUGCUGAGCUGUUCAAUUAGAA